rnacentral:rRNA from 1 species
AGAGUUUGAUCCUGGCUCAGGACUAACGCUGACGGUAUGCCUUAUACAUGCAAGUCGAACGGUAAGGUCUCUUCGGAGAUACACGAGUGGCGGACGGGUGAGUAACGCGUAGGAAUAUGCCCUUUAGUGGGGGACAACCAAGAGAAAUUUUGGCUAAUACCCCAUAUGCAGUGAUGUGAAAGAUUUAUCGCUGAAGGAGUAGCCUGCGUUUGAUUAGCUAGUUGGUGUGGUAAUGGCAUACCAAGGCGACGAUCAGUAGCUGGUCUGAGAGGAUGAACAGCCACAUUGGAACUGAGACACGGUCCAAACUCCUACGGGAGGCAGCAGUGGGGAAUUUUCCGCAAUGGACGAAAGUCUGACGGAGCGACGCUGCGUGAAGGAUGACGGCCUGCGGGUUGUAAACUUCUUUUCUCGAAGAAGAAGCUCUGACGGUAUUCGAGGAAUAAGCAUCGGCUAACUCCGUGCCAGCAGCCGCGGUAAUACGGAGGAUGCAAGUGUUAUCCGGAAUGAUUGGGCGUAAAGCGUCUGUAGGCUGUAUAGAAAGUCUUUUGUUAAAUGCCUCGGCUCAACCGAGAUCCAGCAAAGGAAACUUCUAUACUUGAGGGAAGUAGAGGUACAGGGAAUUCCCGGUGGAGCGGUGAAAUGCGUAGAUAUCGGGAGGAACACCAAUAUGGCGAAGGCACUGUACUGGGCUUUACCUGACGCUCAGAGACGAAAGCUAAAGGAGUGAUUAGGAUUAGAUACCCUAGUAAUUUUAGCCGUAAACGAUGGAAACUCACUGCCGAGCGAAAUACAACGAGCGGAGGUCAAGCUAACGCGUGAAGUUUCCCGCCUGGGGAUUACGCUUGCAAAAGUGAAACUCAAAGGAAUUGACGGGGACCCGCACAAGCGGUGGAGUAUGUGGUUUAAUUCGAUGCAACACGAAGAACCUUACCAGGGUUUGAAAUCAUUUCAAAACUCCUUGAAAGAGGAGCCUCCUUCGGGAUGAAAUGACAGGUGGUGCAUGGCUGUCGUCAGCUCGUGUUGUGAAAUGUCGAGUUAAGUCUCGUAACGAGCGCAACCCAUGUCUCUUGUUGCUCACUGAGUGCUUAAGAGAGACUGCCGACCAACAUCGGAGGAAGGUGUGGAUGAUGUCAAGUCAGCAUGCCCCUUACAUCCUGGGCUACACACGUACUACAAUGGUAGGGACAAUGAGCUGCGAUCCUGCGAAGGCUAGCCAAUCUCAAAAACCCUAUCUCAGUUCGGAUUGUACUCUGCAACUCGAGUACAUGAAGGUGGAAUCGCUAGUAAUCGCUGGUCAGCUAUACAGCGGUGAAUACGUUCCCGGGUCUUGUACACACUGCCCGUCACACCAUGGAAGCCGACUCUUCCCUAAGUCGUUACUCGAACCCAUUGGGACGAGGAUGCCGAAGGCGGGGUUGGUGACUGGGGUGAAGUCGUAACAAGGUAACC